CCGGCGAGGGAGUGACCGGCCCCCGGGCGAGGGAGUGACCGGCCCCGGGCGAGGGAGUGACCGGCCCCCGGGCGAGGGAGUGACCGGCCCCCGGCGAGGGAGUGACCGGCCCCCGGGCGAGGGAGUGACCGGCCCCCGGGCGAGGGAGUGACCGGCCCCCGGCGAGGAACAGAGUGACUCCAGCAAGGGACUGAGCCCCGGUGUUGUGAAUAAACAUGAUCUCAAUGGACUUCAGGCCUGGAUCAUUACCCAUGUGCUUUGCUCUGCAAAUGCUUCUUGCUUCCACUUCUUCUCACCUAGCAUCAUUUUGAGGACUGGAUUCCUCUCCUGUGGUGUGCCAGUAUCUUGGGAUGUGCAGUGGCCACGUUUGCAAUGAUCAAGGCUGCUUUUUGCCUGCCAGUGCCAAAGACUGGUAUGUGAAUUGUAGUAAUAAGAGAACUCUAGGUUAUCAGAGAUGAAAAUUCUUAGCUAAAAUUUGAGUCUAUAAAUGGAAUGACAGAAUCUAUUUCACUGGCACAGGGAGAGGGGCCAGGGGAUGGCAGUGGUUCUUUGCAUCCCCUGUGUUUCACGCUGCCUGCCGUGGCACUGGCAGCCUCAGUGUCACAGGUGGAGCUGCCAAGGUUUGGGUGUUGGUUGCUUGUCAAGAGAUGAAGAGUGGAAAUGCUGAACUGCAGAACUUGAAAUGAAGGUUUGUGAAAACUGGUAUCAGUCGGUGCUAUUUUCAGCAGCUGCAAUAUGGAACAUGACUAAGUGAGUUUUAUUUUGAUCCUGAAAGCAGACUUGGUGAAGCUGCUGAGCUCGGCUGGUUGGCCUGGGGUAGAGUUCCUUUUUUCCCAGUAGCUGGUCCUGGCAUUCUUUUGGAUUUGAGCUGAGACAGUGUUGCUAACACAGGGAUGUUUUCACUGUGCUGAGCAGUGUUCACACAGCAUCCAGGGCUUUUGUGCAUCUCAGCCCACCCACCAGGGAGUGCGCUGGGUGAGCACAAGGAGCUGGGAGGGAACACUGCUUCCCCCAAGUGAGCCAAGGAAUAUCCCAGGCCAUGUGGCCUCAUGUUCAGCACACAAAGCUGGAGGAAGAAGGAAGUGGGGGAUGUCAGGAGUGGAGGUAAAGUCACCAUUGCAUGUGAUGGAGCCCUGCUUUCCUGUAGAUGGCUGAACAUCUGCCUGCAGGGGGCAGUGGGCAAUAGAUUCUUUCUUUUGCUGUGUUUGUGUGCAUUGUUUUUCCUUGACCUAUUAAACUGUGUUUAUCUCAACCUGUGAAUUUGCUCCUUUUCCUGAUUCCCUCCCCCAUGCCACUGUGGGGAGUGAGCAGGCAGCUCUGUGGGGCUGAGUUGGCAGCUGGGGUUAAACCAUGCCCGUCCUUUUUGGUGCCUGCCAUGGAGCCUGAAGGCUUUGAGGAUAGAAAAGUCUAAAUGUGUGUGCCAAAUCAAAAGCUUGCUUUAUUUUUAGAUGACGGAUACAGAUCUACUUUAUGGCUACUGGACAGAAAGGACAGAUGCUUGUGAAAAUCCCUCUUUGAAGCAAUUCAUCAUGUCUUUGAGUGCCAUGCUGAAGACAGAACCAGCUGCAUCAGCAGUACAUGGGUUCAGUGUCCUUGAAGAGUGGGAAUUACCGAGUGUCAAAAGGCAGCAGACAAUGAGAAACCUGGAAAGGAGAUGGAUCUGGAUGCAUGCCCUCCACUCAUGGUUGCCCCGGUAACGGAGGUUGCCGUAAUUCCCGCAUGCCGCGCAGAGCGCGGAGCGGACGGAAACGGCGCUGGGCACACGAGCGGCGCCACUUACGCAGUUGACGCAAGUUUGGUAUUCACGAACGUUACGCAAUCUACGGAGCGUUCGUGAAUAGCGCGGGUUACGCAAUUUGCGUACGCGGCGGGAAUUCCGCCCAUUGCAUCCCAGGGGGAUGGAGCUACUGGGGAGAAGGCAACGGGUUCUUCAAUCAGAUUAAAAGCAAGAAGAUAUAGGUGGAAGUAAUGAUAAAAAAUACAAAGCUAAAUGGAGCUUGCAGAGAUAGACCAAAACCAUAAAAACCUGCAAAUAUGCUUGGUGUUACAAGUUGCAUAGUUAAGAUUUUCAAGCAGAGACAAGGAAGGACAAAAAAUAUUCCUAAGACUCUGAGAAAACCUUCUCUACCAUCUGCAUAUAGUGGAAGGCUGAAGGUCUCAAGACAGCUUUAACAUCCCUUUUUUCAAGGGCUUAACAAUGAUCAUUUUCUUUGACACCACCUCAUACAAGCUUUAAGGUCCAGCCUGGAAGGGCGGCUCAGCCCCUGAGGCCAGGCCAGACACGGCCGAGAGCUCAGAGCACAUCUCCGUGUGCUCUCACUCACUCACUGACUCACUGGGGCCCAGCUGGGCUAUCCUGCCCCCAGCUCUGGGCUGGGACAUGCUCAAUCUUGGUUUGUUUUUCAGCCCCAGCAGAAGAGAGAAGCUGCUCCUGCCUGAACAUCUGGCUCCUCCUCAUUUUUGCCCUUGCCAUCAAAGCUGCCUUGGUGACCAUCUGCCUUGGUGGGUUCCAGGGUCUCUUAAUUCCCUUGGGAUGAAGGUCUCAGGUGACUGUCUUUGUUCACAUGGAAAACCCAUAUCCUAGUCACUCUGCCAGCAGGGAAAUGCCCUCCACAAAAACACAGGUCAGAGAUCCCUUCUCAUGCAGCCUCUUGUUUUAUGAGAAUAUAUCUGUGGCUUUAAUCCACCAUUUGAAUCUCUGUGCAGAAGGCAGAUCUCUUGGACUAGCUGGCUGUGUGGUGGCAGCAAGGCUGGCACAGCAGCUGGCUCUAAGCCUCUCAGUGUGCAUGAGCUGAGAGCUUGGACAACGCUGCUCUGAUGGAAGAGUUUCCAGAGGACCGUGAGCCAGUGAUUUCCUAUCCUGCUUCCUCAGGAAGGCUGAGGCAGUAGCAGUGUCUCUCAGCAAACAGAGGUUUCAUGGCUAACUGAGGAAGACACUGACCCCUUUUGAUCCCUACAGGGAUGAACAGCUCCACAGAGGGUCAAAUCCCUCAGCUGAACUAAACCAGAAGUCAUCUCUCUUCCCAUCCUUUAUCUUUAUGUAGGGAUAAGGUCACCCUUCUUGGCAGUGGGGGUGCUCAGCCAGGCAUUGCCCUUGCCCAUCUCCUCUGAGCCUUCCUUAACCAAAUAAUAAUUGGUUAGUUCACUAACCAGGCACUGCAGCCACUGUGAUUGUUCUGCUCAUAAGUAAAAAUAUUUCUAAAUUAAAUGAUGGAUGAAAUGGGCAUCUGUAUUGUUAAGAACACCCUGACCAGCUUUUAAUCCAUACUCCUGAGUGUCUGAGUUACCAGUAAGUCUGUGGGACUGUGGCUGUGGCCUGUCACCAGCAGUGCAUUAUUCCCCACAAACUGGGAGUCCAGGUAAGUCCCAGGAGUUUAUGCCCCAGCCUGGUUGCAGCAGCUCCAGCUGGAUGAGAUUCCCUUCCCCUGGACUGUGCUGCUGCUGGAACAGGCGCAGCUGCUGGGUGACUCCUCCAAAUGCCUGCUGGUGUGGAGUUUGGGAAGAGACAAAGGGUGCCAGGGAGAGGCUGCUUGGUAGACUGGCAGCUGGGCUGUGGGGAUGUGCAUGGCAGCGUGGCUGUGCUGGGGGGGAUCAAUGCUGCCCUGUGUGCCACGUCCUCCGUGGGAUGUGCUUGCAGGGCUCCUGCUGCUGCCUGACUUGGCAGACAAGGUCUCUGUCUGCCUGGGGAGGCAGCUGUGCCACAUCUAAAUGCAAUCAGUUAAGCUUCAUCUGCCAUCAUCAUUUGCCCUGUCCAGGUUGUGGGGUCACAGAGAAGUAACAGGGCUCUGGCACAGCUCUGCUGCUGCCUGGAUACAGCUGGUGAGGAGCCUGUCUAAAAGGACCCCCACCUUCAGCCUAGCAUGAUGAGGUCUUCACCACGUGUCUGCUCUCAAAUCACACACUACAAUGCAUUUGAAAUACUGGGAAAAUGUAAUAUCUGCAUCUCUGUGACAGCAGAACAUUUCCUUCUCCAGCAAAUGACUCUCAAAGAUCAAGCUCUACCU